rnacentral:rRNA from 1 species
AGGAACGCUGGCGGCGUGGAUUAGGCAUGCAAGUCGAACGGUAGGAUACCUUCGGGUAUCUGAGAGUGGCGAACGGGUGAGUAACACGUAGGUGAUCUACCCUCAAGAUUGGGACAACCCAGGGAAACUUGGGCUAAUACCGGAUGUGAGCAACUUUAGUUGUUUGAAAGGUGGCGUAAGCUGUCGCUUGGGGAUGAGCCUGCGUCCUAUUAGUUAGUUGGUGAGGUAACGGCUCACCUAGGCAAUGAUAGGUAGGCGGCCUUAACGGGUGGUCGCCCACACUGGGAUUGAGAUACGGCCCAGACUCCUACGGGAGGCAGCAGUCGAGAAUAGUCUACAAUGGUCGGAAGACUGAUAGUGCGACGCCGCGUGAACGAUGAAUCCCUUCGGGGUGUAAAGUUCUUUUAUAUGUGAGCAGUGCUUCUUAUAUUAACAGUAUGGGGAGAGAGAUAUUAGCAUAUGAAUAAGCAACGGCUAACUCCGUG